rnacentral:rRNA from 1 species
UACGUAGGGUGCAAGCGUUAAUCGGAAUUACUGGGCGUAAAGCGUGCGCAGGCGGUUAUGUAAGACAGAGGUGAAAUCCCCGGGCUCAACCUGGGAACUGCCUUUGUGACUGCAUAGCUAGAGUACGGCAGAGGGGGGAGUGGAAUUCCGCGUGUAGCAGUGAAAUGCGUAGAUAUUUGGAGGAACACCGAUGGCGAAGGCAGCCCCCUGGGCUAACACUGACGCUCAUGCACGAAAGCGU